rnacentral:snRNA from 1 species
AUACUUACCUGGGCGGGGCCUAUCGCUGAUCCGAAAGGGCGAUGACCUAGAGUGGGCUGACCCAUUGCACCAAGGCUCGGCAAAUUCUAGCAUUUCCCCAAGGGGAAAAUGCACGUCGUAAUUUGUGAUAGAGGAGGGCUCGCGUUCGCGCGGCCCUCCA